rnacentral:rRNA from 1 species
UGCAGAAGAAGCCCCGGCUAAAUUCGUACCAGCAGCCGCGGUAAUACGGAGGGUGCGAGCGUUAAUCGGAAUUACUGGGCGUAAAGCGCAUGCAGGUGGUUUGUUAAGUCAGAUGUGAAAGCCCGGGGCUCAACCUCGGAAUUGCAUUUGAAACUGGCAAACUAGAGUACUGUAGAGGGGGGUAGAAUUUCAGGUGUAGCGGUGAAAUGCGUAGAGAUCUGAAGGAAUACCGGUGGCGAAGGCGGCCCCCUGGACAGAUACUGACACUCAGAUGCGAAAGCGUGGGGAGCAAACAGGAUUAGAUACCCUGGUAGUCCACGCCGUAAACGAUGUCUACUUGGAGGUUGUGGCCUUGAGCCGUGGCUUUCGGAGCUAACGCGUUAAGUAGACCGCCUGGGGAGUACGGUCGCAAGAUUAAAACUCAAAUGAAUUGACGGGGGCCCGCACAAGCGGUGGAGCAUGUGGUUUAAUUCGAUGCAACGCGAAGAACCUUACCUACUCUUGACAUCUACAGAAGCCAGCGGAGACGCAGGUGUGCCUUCGGGAACUGUAAGACAGGUGCUGCAUGGCUGUCGUCAGCUCGUGUUGUGAAAUGUUGGGUUAAGUCCCGCAACGAGCGCAACCCUUAUCCUUGUUUGCCAGCACUUCGGGUGGGAACUCCAGGGAGACUGCCGGUGAUAAACCGGAGGAAGGUGGGGACGACGUCAAGUCAUCAUGGCCCUUACGAGUAGGGCUACACACGUGCUACAAUGGCGCAUACAGAGGGCGGCCAACUUGCGAAAGUGAGCGAAUCCCAAAAAGUGCGUCGUAGUCCGGAUUGGAGUCUGCAACUCGACUCCAUGAAGUCGGAAUCGCUAGUAAUCGUGGAUCAGAAUGCCACGGUGAAUACGUUCCCGGGCCUUGUACACACCGCCCGUCACACCAUGGGAGUGGGCUGCAAAAGAAGUGGGUAGUUUAACCUUCGGGAGGACGCUCACCACUUUGUGGUUCAUGACUGGGGUGAAGUCGUAACAAGGUAACCG